rnacentral:rRNA from 1 species
UACAGAGGGGGCUAGCGUUGUUCGGAAUUACUGGGCGUAAAGGGCGCGUAGGCGGCUUCUUAAGUUAGAAGUGAAAUCCCGGGGCUUAACCUCGGAAUUGCUUUUAAUACUGGGAGGCUAGAGACCGGUAGGGGAUAGUGGAAUUCUUAGUGUAGGAGUGAAAUCCGUAGAUAUUAAGAGGAACACCAGUGGCGAAGGCGGCUAUCUGGACCGAUACUGACGCUGAGGCGCGAAAGCGUGGGGAGCAAACAGG